rnacentral:lncRNA from 1 species
CUUUAAAAUGUUGUGUUCUGCCUAGAGCAAAAUCUCUUGAAUUUUUUAGCUGAAAAUAAGUAUGGGGGAAAAUAUUUACAUAUUCUACCCAUGUUAAAAUCAGCUUCUAAAUAAAAAUGUGUUUUUUUGUUGGUUGGAUCUAAGAAUGUAACAAAUGAAGGACAUUGGUACAUUUCAUACACUUUAAGAAGAGAAAUUCUAAGUCCUGACUGACUUCUCAUUAAGAAACUAGUUUUCAAUUUUAAGACUUAAAUUUAAGACAGUUUUUUAAUUGAAAGAAUUUUUCCCCCAAGCACUGAACCAUAGAUAAAUCGCCUCUCAUAACUUUUAAGCUGUCAAAAUUUUGGUCUGGCACAGAGACCUUAUGUGCUGUUUUAGUUUCAUUAUGGUUGGCCCUCCCUUCUCUUUUGCAUUGUUUACUAAAGAUGCUGCCUGAUAACUCUGAACAAAUUUAGGCCUGGUUUUAUUGAUCACUUUGAGUGUUAAAUUGGAUUCUUAAAAACAUUUCUUUGGUAAUUGAGCUGAAUCUUUCGUUUCCAGAUUAUUAACAGAGACUCUUAGAUCAGUUUAUUUAAAUGAACUGCCCAUUUAGGGGAAUCUGAAUUAGCUACCCACCCUAUUUUCCCCUAAUUUUAGUUUUGGUCUUAAACUAAUCAUGAGUUGAUAUUCUGUAAAAUCACUCUAAUCUUAUGAAGUCUUUGUAAUACAC